rnacentral:rRNA from 1 species
GACAGAGGGUGCUAGCGUUGUUCGGAAUUACUGGGCGUAAAGGGCGCGUAGGCGGCCUGGUCAGUCGGAUGUGAAAGCCCGGGGCUCAACCCCGGAACGGCAUCCGAGACGGCCAGGCUGGAGACCGGGAGAGGAGAGUGGAAUAGCCAGUGUAGAGGUGAAAUUCGUAGAUAUUGGCUGGAACACCGGUGGCGAAAGCGGCUCUCUGGCCCGGUUCUGACGCUGAGGCGCGAAAGCGUGGGGAGCAAACAGG